AGAGUUUGAUCAUGGCUCAGAAUGAACGCUGGCGGCGUGCUUAACACAUGCAAGUCGCACGAGAACGUUUCAGCUUGCUGAAGCUAGUAAAGUGGCGCACGGGUGAGUAACGCGUGGGUAAUCUUCCCCCGAAUUGGGGAUAACAUUGCGAAAGCGAUGCUAAUACCGGAUAACAUCUUAAGAACCCCGGUUUUUAAGAUCAAAGGUGGCCUCUACAUGUAAGCUACUGUUUGGGGAUGAGCCCGCGUACCAUUAGCUUGUUGGUAGGGUAACGGCCUACCAAGGCUACGAUGGUUAGCUGGUCUGAGAGGAUGAUCAGCCACACUGGAACUGACACACGGUCCAGACUCCUACGGGAGGCAGCAGUGAGGAAUUUUGCGCAAUGGGGGAAACCCUGACGCAGCAACGCCGCGUGAGUGAUGAAGGCUUUCGAGUCGUAAAGCUCUGUCAAGUGGGAAGAACCCACAUGGUGCUAAUAUCACCAUGUGUUGACGGUACCACUGAAGGAAGCACCGGCUAACUCCGUGCCAGCAGCCGCGGUAAUACGGGGGGUGCAAGCGUUAUUCGGAAUUACUGGGCGUAAAGAGCGCGUAGGCGGCUUCUUAAGUCAGGUGUGAAAGCCCGAGGCUCAACCUCGGAAGUGCACUUGAAACUAAGAGACUUGAGUAUGGGGAGAGGGAAGUGGAAUUCCUGGUGUAGCGGUGAAAUGCGUAGAUAUCAGGAGGAACACCGGUGGCGAAGGCGACUUCCUGGACCAAUACUGACGCUGAGGCGCGAAGGCGUGGGGAGCAAACAGGAUUAGAUACCCUAGUAGUCC
rnacentral:rRNA from 1 species